CAUAAAGCAGGGUAUGCCUUAGGGUGUGGCUACCUUGUGAUUGACAGGUCGCUACCACGGCGUUGUCCGGUCUAGGUGUUGUCUGUAUUUUCGUCUUCAAGACUUUAACCAUUUCACA